CCCUUAGAUGUUCUGGGCUGCACGCGCGCUACACUGAUGCGCUCAACGAGUUUAUGACCUUGCCUGGAAAGGUUGGGUAAUCUUCUUAAAACGCAUCGUGAUGGGGAUAGAUUAUUGCAAUUAUUAAUCUUCAACGAGGAAUGCCUAGUAAGCGCAAGUCAUCAGCUUGCGUUGAUUACGUCCCUGCCCUUUGUACACACCGCCCGUCGCUCCUACCGAUUGAAUGGUCCGGUGAAGCGUUCGGACCGUGGCCUUUGGACGGUUCGCCGUCUGUUGGCUGCGGGAAGUUCGUUAAACCUUAUCAUUUAGAGGAAGGAGAAGUCGUAACA
rnacentral:rRNA from 1 species